rnacentral:rRNA from 1 species
AUUGAACGCUAGCGGGAUGCCUUACACAUGCAAGUCGAACGGAGUGGCGAACGGGUGAGUAAUGUAUCGGCACGUGCCCAGUAGCGGGGGAUAACUACGCGAAAGCGUAGCUAAUACCGCAUACUAUUGGAGCGGCCGUUAUCGUAUGAGCGGGUUGGUGGGGUAACGGCUCACCAAGGCGCCGAACCGUAGCUGGUUUGAGAGGACGACCAGCCACACGGGGACUGUGACAUGGCCCAGACUCCUACGGGAGGCAGCAGUGGAGAAUUGUGGACAAAGGGGGAAACCCUGUUCCAGCCAUCCCGCGUGUGCGAUUAAGGCCUUCGGGUUGUAAAGCACUUUUGGCAGGAAAGCGGUACCUGCAGAAUAAGCACCGGCUAACUACGUGCCAGCAGCCGCGGUAAUUC